rnacentral:rRNA from 1 species
UACGUAGGGUGCAAGCGUUGUCCGGAAUUAUUGGGCGUAAAGGGCUCGUAGGCGGUCCAUCACGUCGGGAGUGAAAAGCUGGGGCUUAACCCCAGUCCUGCUUCCGAUACGGGUGGACUAGAGGUAGGUAGGGGAGAACGGAAUUCCUGGUGUGGCGGUGAAAUGCGCAGAUAUCAGGAGGAACACCGGUGGCGAAGGCGGUUCUCUGGGCCUUACCUGACGCUGAGGAGCGAAAGCGUGGGGAGCAAACAGG